CCUAAUACAUGCAAGUCGAACGAGUUCUGAUUAUUGAAAGGUGCUUGCAUCUUGAUUUAAUUUUGAACGAGUGGCGGACGGGUGAGUAACACGUGGGUAACCUGCCCUUAAGUGGGGGAUAACAUUUGGAAACAGAUGCUAAUACCGCAUAAAUCCAAGAACCGCAUGGUUCUUGGCUGAAAGAUGGCGUAAGCUAUCGCUUUUGGAUGGACCCGCGGCGUAUUAGCUAGUUGGUGAGGUAACGGCUCACCAAGGCAAUGAUACGUAGCCGAACUGAGAGGUUGAUCGGCCACAUUGGGACUGAGACACGGCCCAAACUCCUACGGGAGGCAGCAGUAGGGAAUCUUCCACAAUGGACGCAAGUCUGAUGGAGCAACGCCGCGUGAGUGAAGAAGGCUUUCGGGUCGUAAAACUCUGUUGUUGGAGAAGAAUGGUCGGCAGAGUAACUGUUGUCGGCGUGACGGUAUCCAACCAGAAAGCCACGGCUAACUACGUGCCAGCAGCCGCGGUAAUACGUAGGUGGCAAGCGUUAUCCGGAUUUAUUGGGCGUAAAGCGAGCGCAGGCGGUUUUUUAAGUCUGAUGUGAAAGCCCUCGGCUUAACCGAGGAAGUGCAUCGGAAACUGGGAAACUUGAGUGCAGAAGAGGACAGUGGAACUCCAUGUGUAGCGGUGAAAUGCGUAGAUAUAUGGAAGAACACCAGUGGCGAAGGCGGCUGUCUGGUCUGUAACUGACGCUGAGGCUCGAAAGCAUGGGUAGCGAACAGGAUUAGAUACCCUGGUAGUCCAUGCCGUAAACGAUGAAUGCUAGGUGUUGGAGGGUUUCCGCCCUUCAGUGCCGCAGCUAACGCAUUAAGCAUUCCGCCUGGGGAGUACGACCGCAAGGUUGAAACUCAAAGGAAUUGACGGGGGCCCGCACAAGCGGUGGAGCAUGUGGUUUAAUUCGAAGCAACGCGAAGAACCUUACCAGGUCUUGACAUCUUUUGAUCACCUGAGAGAUCAGGUUUCCCCUUCGGGGGCAAAAUGACAGGUGGUGCAUGGUUGUCGUCAGCUCGUGUCGUGAGAUGUUGGGUUAAGUCCCGCAACGAGCGCAACCCUUAUGACUAGUUGCCAGCAUUUAGUUGGGCACUCUAGUAAGACUGCCGGUGACAAACCGGAGGAAGGUGGGGAUGACGUCAAAUCAUCAUGCCCCUUAUGACCUGGGCUACACACGUGCUACAAUGGAUGGUACAACGAGUUGCGAGACCGCGAGGUCAAGCUAAUCUCUUAAAGCCAUUCUCAGUUCGGACUGUAGGCUGCAACUCGCCUACACGAAGUCGGAAUCGCUAGUAAUCGCGGAUCAGCACGCCGCGGUGAAUACGUUCCCGGGCCUUGUACACACCGCCCGUCACACCAUGAGAGUUUGUAACACCCGAAGCCGGUGGCGUAACCCUUUUAGGGAGCGAGCCGUCUAAAGGU
rnacentral:rRNA from 1 species